rnacentral:sRNA from 1 species
UUCGGGCUCCGUGGGCCGAGGGGGGGUACGGAGGUGGCAGCUGUGGGAGGAGGCGGCGUGGAAGGCCGAGGAGCUCAAGCCCGGACCAAUCCCCACGUCCCGGGCCGCGACCCUGACCCUGCAGCGUACCGGGAAGCGAAACCGGCCGGAUGGGCCGCUGAGCCCGAAUCGGGCACUGUGUGGAGCCCCCUGGAGCUGAGAUCAGGAUGUUCCGCUUCAUGAGGGACGUGGAGCCUGAGGAUCCCAUGUUCCUGAUGGAUCCCUUUGCUAUUCACCGUCAGCAUAUGAGCCGUAUGUUGUCAGGUGGCUUUGGAUAUAGCCCCUUCCUCAGCAUCACAGAUGGCAACAUGCCAGGGACCAGGCCUGCCAGCCGCAGGAUGCAGCAGGCUGGAGCUGUCUCCCCCUUUGGGAUGCUGGGAAUGUCGGGUGGUUUCAUGGACAUGUUUGGGAUGAUGAAUGACAUGAUUGGAAACAUGGUGAGACUUGCCCCAUACCCUUCCCCGGCCUUGCUCUCAGUGAUGGCUGACAACACCUUGCAUCCUCUAAGGCAAGAGGGAGACAGUAUGCUAGUGAAGGGUAAAGUACUGGAUAAAGUAAUUGAACCAGAGAGCCUUGGGACCCUGUAUCUGCUGUCAUGCCUGCCUGAAGCAGCCAGCAGCAGCUCUCUUACGUAGCAUACAAUUAAGGCCCUGUCUCUUCAGGUCCUUCUUGCUCGUGGUUGGACUCAGAGGAAUUUGGGAGGGUAAUGAUGAGGCCUGAUGUUUUUUCAGUUCUUGCAUUUUGUGAGAAAGAUACAGGCUAGAACAGGCAGCUGAAGGGUGAAAUCCCUUCACCAGGGGUGACGCCUCCCCAUUCAGCCCUCCCCUACCUACCCUGUCCUCAGGAACACAUGACAGCUGGAGGCAAUUGCCAGACCUUCUCAUCUUCCACUGUCAUCUCCUACUCCAAUACGGGUGAUGGUGCCCCCAAGGUCUACCAAGAGACAUCAGAGAUGCGCUCGGCACCAGGCGGGAUCCGGGAGACACGGAGGACUGUUCGGGAUUCAGACAGUGGACUGGAGCAGAUGUCCAUUGGGCAUCACAUCCGGGACAGGGCUCACAUCCUCCAGCGCUCCCGAAACCAUCGCACGGGGGACCAGGAGGAGCGGCAGGACUAUAUCAACCUGGAUGAGAGUGAGCCCUCCCUCCCGCUUCCUGGCUGGCAGCCCCUAACUCAGUUCCCGUGGACAUCCCU